UGCUCAAAUCAAUAGGUAACUCAACACAUGUUGUAUUCAAGUCAACUAGGCAUUCAUCAUCUUGACGUGAAGUUAUGUCAUCAAUACCUUAGUGUUACAUAAUCAUUAAAGGUGAGUUCAAAGGAGUUUAAAGUUGAAUCCAAUUGCAUUGGAAAGUAUACAAAAUAAGGUUUGAAACAAAAAAUAUUCACCUAUUUGGAGUCCAGAUGCAAAAGUUAGACACGUUUUAAGUCAGAUAUGUUUGUGCAAUCCGAAUUUGAGUCCUGGACGUGUUAAGCUUUUCUGUAUCUUGCGUUGAGUAAAAAAUGACGUGAGAAAACUUCCUGAACAUUACCUAAUCAUUUCCUUUCACGUUAAAGGACUUCUUAAACAACAUCUAAUCAUUUUAUUUUCCUUUAUCUUCACACAUGGUUUGUACAAGUGUUAAGUGAUUAUGCGCAUGAAUUAAAAAUAGGUGAAGUAUUUUUGUUCUAGAUAAUAUAAAAAAUAUUGCAUAUUUAUUAUAAGAAAGCAUCUUAUAAAUAUUCUUGUAUGCAACAUUUUUGGUCAUUUCCAAAGUAGCCAUGUCCUCAUCAACUACCACCUACAAUUGUUGCAAAGUUGAUGAGAGGAUGGAAUAGAGACAAAGCCGGUUGAUCCCCAUGUUUCUGAUUUGGUGUUUGUAUGGGAGCCGAAUAGCAUCCCGUGGGAUUGAGAGAUGUGGGGAACUUGUUGUGUGCAUGUUGGUGUCGUCCUUUCUCUCCUUACUCAUUAUUGUUCUAUGUUAGGCUGAGUAUCGCCUCUAGUUCGGCACAUGGAUGUGCGUGAAUUUAUUGUUACGGGUUGGUCCAUGUGCCCAGACUUGGCCCAGACAUUGCGUACUUAAUGGGCUCACACGCUAUAGCUUUUUCUAGGUAUAAGAAACUAUCCAACAUUUUUUUUGUGUUGUAUGUUUUGCCCUUGUUGUCACUCCACCUCAAAGUAUUCAUCAAACUGUUGGGUCUUUUUUCGAACUGUGUAAUCAAGUAGCAACGGUCAACCUGUUAGUGGUCAACUGGUCAAUGGUUGAUCAGUCAACCCUGAAAAAUGAAUGCUAAACCUUGCCUUUAAAAAGUUGUUAGUAAAACCAGUCGAGCAACCAUGAUGGUAUCAAAGACAUAGGCACAAACGAUGGAUUUUGAUUGAAAAC
rnacentral:lncRNA from 1 species